CUAAAUGUUUCUUUUCCCCUCAUUUUUUCCAAUUGAUGGAAAUCCGCCGUAGACUCGCUGCAAUUAACGGAAAUCCGUCGUAGCGACGGAGAACUUUAAUCCCUGAGAACAGAGACACUCACAAAC